CCCCUAGUAACUGCGAGUGAAGCGGGAAAAGCUCAAAUUUAAAAUCUGGCGGUUCUGCCGUCCGAGUUGUAAUUUAGAGAAGUGUUAUCCGCGCUGGACCGUGUACAAGUCUCCUGGAAUGGAGCGUCAUAGAGGGUGAGAAUCCCGUCUUUGACACGGACUGCCAGGGCAUUUGUGAUGCGCUCUCAAAGAGUCGAGUUGUUUGGGAUUGCAGCUCAAAAUGGGUGGUAAAUUCCAUCUAAAGCUAAAUAUUGGGGAGAGACCGAUAGCGAACAAGUACCGUGAGGGAAAGAUGAAAAGAACUUUGGAAAGAGAGUUAAACAGUACGUGAAAUUGCUGAAAGGGAAACGCUUGAAGUCAGUCGCGUUGUUCGGGAUUCAGCUUUGGCUUCUGCCGGGUGGAUUUCCUGUUCGACGGGUCAGCAUCAGUUUUGGCCAGUGGAUAAAGGCUCAGAGAAUGUGGCAUCCUCGGAUGUGUUAUAGCUCUGGGUCGCAUACAUUGGCUGGGACUGAGGAACUCAGCACGCCGAAAGGCCAGGUUCGACC
rnacentral:rRNA from 1 species